rnacentral:tRNA from 1 species
GCGGGUGUAGUUCAAUGGUAGAAUACGGGACUGUGGAUCCUGUGACAGGGGUUCGAUUCCCCUCACUCGCUCCA